CUUGCAGAGCCUCAGUAUCUUCCUGGAGGCCUUAGAGGGAGUUCAAUCGGUCAUCCCCAAGGACAAGUUUCUGGCCAUCACCAGUGCUGUGUUCUACCAGGUAAGGGGAGCCUAUCCUUGCACCCAAAGCAGUUUCCCUCUUGCCUAAGUCUCAGGAGGACUCAAAGCUCCAAGCCUCUGAUGGCUGCUCAGCCUUAGCCCCUGCAUGCCCGUGGCUGCUCCAGAGCCGUGUGUGUGCCCCCAGGGAUGCUGUGGGGCAGGCUGUGUUUUGUCUGCAUGUCCUCUUACUGAGUGUGCCAAGGGAGACGAGAGCUGGCAGCACGGUUGCUUUUCCAUCCUCAAUACCGAUACAAUUUUCUCCAAUGGACCUUGUUCCCACAGCUCUCUGAUGACACCAAGGAGCACAGCGAGGCUGACAGAGCAGAGCUGACCCACUGCAUCCUGCUGCAGGGUAAGGAGAGGAGCUCUGGCAGUGCUUGGCGGUGCCCUGGCCAAAACCUCUCUCACAAACCUCCGGAAUGCGUGCGAGUUUCUUGCUAAUACAGCGCGGGAUUUCCUCUCCGCAGCCCGGAUCUGCCCCGAGGAAACGGUCCUGUUUCUGCAGUCUCAGCUGGGCGCUGACAGGGAGGCUGGAUGCGUGGCAGCCCUGGGUCUGCUCGGUGCUCUGGCUCGCUCUGAUGGUCAGUAGGGCCAGAGGGUUGGGACUUCCAGGGAUCCCUUUUGCCAUCUCGGUUGUGCCUCCAUGCAUGCUUCUGUGCAUCUCUUGCAGAGCCCGUGAUGUCAGAGAAGCUGCCCCAGGUUGUGGAGGCUGUACAGUGUCUGUGCAGCGACCCCAGGACCCAGGUGAGCUGAUCUGGGAAAGGAAAGUGCUGUCGGGGUGGUGAUGCUGCUGCCAACACAGGCAGGGCUGGGGUGCCCAGGGAGGUGCUGGGGCACUGACCACACGGUUGCGAUGGCUCUUGUGGGGAGAGCAGGCAGGGCGGAGCAGUCAGGCCCCUGUGCUGUGCAUGGAAAGUGCACAGCCUGGUGCUAAGGCCUGGCCCUCACCUGAGGAGCCAAGGAUUCUCGUCUGCUCUUGUUGUCUCUGCUCAUGCCCGAAGGGCUUCCCCAAUGAGCAGGUGGCUUCCCUUUGCCUUCUGAGCAGGAAAAUCAAACCCACAAUUGACUCCUGACAGGUGAGGAGGGCCAUUCUGCACUUCAUCGAGGAUGUGCUCAGUGCCAACGGCCGGAGCUGCUCAGCCUGGGAUGUGGUGGGGCACAUCUUCAGUGAGUUCAGCCGCUCCACGGGAAGAAGGGUAAGGACAGUGGGCAGCGUCUUCCCUUGGAGGACCCCACUGGUGGGGCCACACCUGAGCCUCCUGAGAGGCUCCUGAGAACUAAGAGUAACCGGUGUUCUGACAACACUGUUGUGCAGGCAGCUGGAGACCUUUCUGCCCAGGAAGCCCGGGAAGAAGGAGCUCUCCAAGAGCUGUGUAUGGACAUCCUGGGGUCACUGGAUCUCUCUGUGAGAGGGAUGACCAAAGUAAGUCACAAUCUGCCCUGCUGCCGCUCCUUGACUUCACACCACGUGUUCCUCAUCCCCUUCCAACACCCCCGGUCUCUCUUCCAAUGUGCUCUAAAGCACACAAGACUCAGGGAAAUUCACAGAGUCCUCUUCAUCUCUGAGCGGAGGCAGGAACGCUGACACAGUGCUCAACCGCCUCGUUCCCUACAGCUCCUGUGGCCACGGCUGCUGCUGUACGUGGUGCCAGCCCAGUACACCGGCAUGCUGAUCCCGGUCUCCCGCUGUGUCCAAGCACUGGCUGAGAGAGGGGACCUGAUGGUGCGGGAGGUGGAAGAACUGGAUGCCCAUUUCCUCAGCUCCAUGUUUCAAGGUAGGAGCAGAAACUCCGCCAGUGAGCU
ensembl:lncRNA